UGAAUUGCGGGAUUCGAACCCGGGUCGUAUCUAUCUAAAAUCGAUGAUCUAUACCACUCGGCCAC